AUGAGCAUGAGAGUUUGGUAAAGGCUUUCAAGCAAGUUGACGUGGUGAUAUCAACGGUGGGUCACAUGCAGUUGGGUGAUCAGGUUAAAAUCAUUGAUGCCAUUAAAGAAGCUGGCAAUGUUAAGAGAUUCUUCCCAUCGGAGUUUGGGACCGAUGUGGAUCGAAACCAUGCCGUAGAACCGGCCAAAUCAGCAUUCGCAGUCAAGUCCCAAAUUCGGUGAGCGGUCGAGGCUAAAGGCAUCCCUUACACAUACGUGGCUUGCAACUACUUUGCUGGCUAUUUUCUUCCCACAUUGGUUCAGCCAGGAGCCACUGCCCCUCCUAGAGACAAAGUCAUUAUAUUAGGCGAUGGAAAUCCCAAGGCUGUUUUCAACAAGGAGGAUGACAUUGGCACCUACACCAUCA